CAGUCGCCGCGGGAAUACGUAGGGUGCAAGCGUUAAUCGGAAUUACUGGGCGUAAAGCGUGCGCAGGCGGUUUGUUAAGACAGAUGUGAAAUCCCCGGGCUCAACCUGGGAACUGCAUUUGUGACUGGCGAGCUAGAGUAUGGCAGGGGGGGGUAGAAUUCCACGUGUAGCAGUGAAAUGCGUAGAGAUGUGGAGGAAUACCGAUGGCGAAGGCAGCCCCCUGGGCCAAUACUGACGCUCAUGCACGAAAGCGUGGGGAGCAAACAGGAUUAGAUACCCGUGUAGUCCCUGUAUCUUAUAU
rnacentral:rRNA from 1 species